rnacentral:rRNA from 1 species
GAUGAACGCUGGCGGCGUGCCUAAUACAUGCAAGUCGAGCGAACAGAUGAGGAUCUUACUCCUCUGACGUUAGCGGCGGACGGGUGAGUAACACGUGGAUAACCUACCUAUAAGACUGGUAUAACUUCGGGAAACCGGAGCUAAUACCGGAUAAUAUAUUGAACCGCAUGGUUCAAUAGUGAAAGACGGUUUUGCUGUCACUUAUAGAUGGAUCUGCGCCGCAUGGGAUAGUUGUUAGGGUAACGGCCUACCAAGGCAACGAGGCGUAGCCGACCUGAGAGGGGGUGAGGCCACCCUGGAGCUGAACCGCGGACCAGACUCCUACGGGAGGCAGCAGUCGGGAAUCUUCCGCAGUGGGCGGAAGCCUGACGGAGCAACGCCGAGUGAGUGAUGAAGGUCUUCGGAUCGUAAAACUCUGUUAUUAGGGAAGAACAAAUGUGUAAGUAACUAUGCACGUAUUGACGGUACCUAAUCAGAAAGCAACGGCUAACUACGUG